CCUACGGGAGGCAGCAGUGGGGAAUAUUGCACAAUGGGGGAAACCCUGAUGCAGCGACGCCGCGUGAGUGAAGAAGUAAUUCGUUAUGUAAAGCUCUAUCAGCAGGGAAGAAAAUGACGGUACCUGAGUAAGAAGCCCCGGCUAACUACGUGCCAGCAGCCGCGGUACUACGUAGGGGGCAAGCGUUAUCCGGAUUUACUGGGUGUAAAGGGAGCGUAGACGGCAGUGCAAGUCUGGAGUGAAAGGCGGGGGCUCAACCCCCGGACUGCUCUGGAAACUGUACGGCUGGAGUGCAGGAGAGGUAAGUGGAAUUCCUAGUGUAGCGGUGAAAUGCGUAGAUAUUAGGAGGAACACCAGUGGCGAAGGCGACUUACUGGACUGUAACUGACGUUGAGGCUCGAAAGCGUGGGGAGCAAACAGGAUUAGAUACCCUUGUAGUC
rnacentral:rRNA from 1 species